CCUACGGGUGGCAGCAGUGGGGAAUAUUGGACAAUGGGGGGAACCCUGAUCCAGCCAUGCCGCGUGUGUGAAGAAGGCCCUCGGGUUGUAAAGCACUUUCAGUGAGGAAGAACGCCUGGUGGUUAAUACACAUCAGGAAAGACAUCACUCACAGAAGAAGCACCGGCUAACUCCGUGCCAGCAGCCGCGGUAAUACGGAGGGUGCGAGCGUUAAUCGGAAUUACUGGGCGUAAAGCGCGCGUAGGUGGCUUGAUAAGCCGGUUGUGAAAGCCCCGGGCUCAACCUGGGAACGGCAUCCGGAACUGUCAAGCUAGAGUGCAGGAGAGGAAGGUAGAAUUCCCGGUGUAGCGGUGAAAUGCGUAGAGAUCGGGAGGAAUACCAGUGGCGAAGGCGGCCUUCUGGACUGACACUGACACUGAGGUGCGAAAGCGUGGGUAGCAAACAGGAUUAGAUACCCGGGUAGUC
rnacentral:rRNA from 1 species